AUGUACAUUCCUACAACAUAAAGUUAAUGCAAUGGAUCCCAUUAGGACUUUACAGUUAAGCACACUCAGGCUAGAUUAGUAUUAGGAUGGGUGACCACACGAGAAGUCUUAGUGUUUUACAUG
rnacentral:rRNA from 1 species